GACGAAGGUGGCGACCGUUGUUCGGAAUCACUGGGCAUAAAGAGCACGUAGGCGGCAAGGUAUGUCGGGUGUGAAAUCCCUCGGCCUAACCGAGGAAUUGCGCCCGAAACUACCGUGCUUGAGGAUGGAAGGGGAGCGUGGAAUUCCUGGUGGAGCGGUGAAAUGCGUUGAUAUCAGGAGGAACACCGGCGGCGAAGGCGACGCUCUGGUCCAUUACUGACGCUGAGGUGCGAAAGCCAGGGGAGCAAACAGG
rnacentral:rRNA from 1 species